AUCGAACGCUGGCGGCAUGCCUUACACAUGCAAGUCGAACGGUAACAGGUCUUCGGAUGCUGACGAGUGGCGAACGGGUGAGUAAUACAUCGGAACGUGCCCGAUCGUGGGGGAUAACGAAGCGAAAGCUUUGCUAAUACCGCAUACGAUCUACGGAUGAAAGCAGGGGACCGCAAGGCCUUGCGCGAACGGAGCGGCCGAUGGCAGAUUAGGUAGUUGGUGGGAUAAAAGCUUACCAAGCCGACGAUCUGUAGCUGGUCUGAGAGGACGACCAGCCACACUGGGACUGGGACACGGCCCAGACUCCUACGGGAGGCAGCAGUGGGGAAUUUUGGACAAUGGGCGAAAGCCUGAUCCAGCCAUGCCGCGUGCAGGAUGAAGGCCUUCGGGUUGUAAACUGCUUUUGUACGGAACGAAAAGACUCUGGUUAAUACCUGGGGUCCAUGACGGUACCGUAAGAAUAAGCACCGGCUAACUACGUGCCAGCCGCCGCGGUAAAAC
rnacentral:rRNA from 1 species